GUUUCUGUGGUGUAGUGGUUAUUAUGUUCGCUUCACAUAUGAAAGGUCUCUGGUUCGAGACUGCGUGGGAACA
rnacentral:tRNA from 1 species